CGGACGGGUGAGUAACACGUGGAUAACCUACCUAUAAGACUGGGAUAACUUCGGGAAACCGGAGCUAAUACCGGAUAAUAUAUUGAACCGCAUGGUUCAAUAGUGAAAGACGGUUUUGCUGUCACUUAUAGAUGGAUCCGCGCCGCAUUAGCUAGUUGGUAAGGUAACGGCUUACCAAGGCAACGAUGCGUAGCCGACCUGAGAGGGUGAUCGGCCACACUGGAACUGAGACACGGCCCAG
rnacentral:rRNA from 1 species